rnacentral:rRNA from 1 species
UGGGGAAUAUUGCGCAAUGGGCGAAAGCCUGACGCAGCAACGCCGCGUGAGCGAUGAAGGCCUUCGGGUUGUAAAGCUCUUUCGAUUGGGAAAAAGUGCAGUAGUUCUAAUACAGCUACUGUGUGAUACUACCGAUAUAAGAAGCACCGGCUAACUUCGUGCCAGCAGCCGCGGUAAUACGAAGGGUGCAAGCGUUGUUCGGAUUUACUGGGCGUAAAGAGUUCGUAGGCGGAAUAAUAAGUUAAUGGUAAAAUCCUUGGGCUUAACCCAAGACUCGCCAUUAAAACUGUUGUUCUUGAGUUUUGGAGAGGGUAAUGGAAUUGCUGGUGUAGGAGUAACAUCCGUAGAUAUCAGCAGGAACGCCGGAAGCGAAAGCGAUUACCUGGCCAAACACUGACGC